rnacentral:rRNA from 1 species
GAUGAACGCUGGCGGCGUGCCUAAUACAUGCAAGUCGAGCGAACAGAUAAGGAGCUUGCUCCUUUGACGUUAGCGGCGGACGGGUGAGUAACACGUGGGUAACCUACCUAUAAGACUGGGAUAACUUCGGGAAACCGGAGCUAAUACCGGAUAAUAUUUCGAACCGCAUGGUUCGAUAGUGAAAGAUGGUUUUGCUAUCACUUAUAGAUGGACCCGCGCCGUAUUAGCUAGUUGGUAAGGUAACGGCUUACCAAGGCGACGAUACGUAGCCGACCUGAGAGGGUGAUCGGCCACACUGGAACUGAGACACGGUCCAGACUCCUACGGGAGGCAGCAGUAGGGAAUCUUCCGCAAUGGGCGAAAGCCUGACGGAGCAACGCCGCGUGAGUGAUGAAGGUCUUCGGAUCGUAAAACUCUGUUAUUAGGGAAGAACAUACGUGUAAGUAACUGUGCACGUCUUGACGGUACCUAAUCAGAAAGCCACGGCUAACUACGCG